rnacentral:rRNA from 1 species
UGAGAAACGGCUACCACAUCCAAGGAAGGCAGCAGGCGCGCAAAUUACCCACUCCCGACACGGGGAGGUAGUGACGAAAACUAACAAUACGGGACUCUUUCGAGGCCCCGUAAUUGGAAUGAGUACACCUUAAAUCCCUUAACGAGGAUCUAUUGGAGGGCAAGUCUGGUGCCAGCAGCCGCGGUAAUUCCAGCUCCAAUAGCGUAUAUUAAAGUUGUUGCAGUUAAAAAGCUCGUAGUUGGAUCUCGGGCGGCGGCCGGUGGUUCGGGUCCGCGCCCGCCUACCGCCGGCCGCACCCAACCGGCGGGACGCGACGGGUGCCCUUGACUGGGUCGCCCGGCGCACCCGCCCAGUUUACUUUGAAAAAAUUAGAGUGUUCAAGGCAGGCUUCAAUGCCUGGAUAUCGGCGCAUGGAAUGAUGGAACAGGACCUCGGUUCUAUUUUGUUGGUUUUCGGAAGUCGAGGUAAUGAUUGAGAGGGACAGACGGGGGCAUUCGUACUGCGGCGUUAGAGGUGAAAUUCUUGGAUCGCCGCAAGACGGACUACUGCGAAAGCAUUUGCCAAGAAUGUUUUCGUUAAUCAAGAACGAAAGUCAGAGGUUCGAAGACGAUCAGAUACCGUCCUAGUUCUGACCAUAAACGAUGCCGACCAGCGAUCCGCCGGAGUUGCCUUGAUGACCCGGCGGGCAGCUCCCGGGAAACCAGAGUCUCUGGGUUCCGGGGGAAGUAUGGUUGCAAAGCUGAAACUUAAAGGAAUUGACGGAAGGGCACCACCAGGAGUGGAGCCUGCGGCUUAAUUUGACUCAACACGGGGAAACUCACCCGGCCCGGACACCGCGAGGAUUGACAGAUCGAGAGCUCUUUCUUGAUUCGGUGGGUGGUGGUGCAUGGCCGUUCUUAGUUGGUGGAGCGAUUUGUCUGGUUAAUUCCGAUAACGAACGAGACUCUGGCCUGCUAAAUAGUCCGCCCGUGCCCGCGCGCGGGCGCGGACUUCUUAGAGGGACGAGCGGCGCUUAGCCGCGCGAGACUGAGCAAUAACAGGUCUGUGAUGCCCUUAGAUGUCCGGGGCCGCACGCGCGCUACACUGAAGGAACCAGCGAGCCCCCGUCCCGGCCCGGAAGGGCCGGGCAACCCGUACAACCUCCUUCGUGCUGGGGAUCGGGGCUUGCAAUUCUUGCCCGUGAACGAGGAAUUCCCAGUAAGUGCGAGUCACCAGCUCGCGUUGAUUACGUCCCUGCCCUUUGUACACACCGCCCGUCGCUACUACCGAUUGAACGGUUUAGCGAGGCCCUCGGAUCCGUCCCGGCGCCUCCGGUCCCGGCGGCGUCGGCGCGCGGAGAAGACGGUCGAACUUGAUCGUUUAGAGGAAGUAAAAGUCGUAACAAGGUUUCC